UUCGAGCGUCAUUACAACCCUCAAGCCUGGCUUGGUAUUGGGCCCCGCCGUUCACGCGGCGGGCCUUAAAAUCAGUGGCGGUGCGUCGUGGCCCUGAGCGUAGUAAAUACCCUCGCUAUAGGACCCGGUGGUUACUUGCCAGCAACCCCCAACUUUCUAAGUUUGACCUCGGAUCAGGUAGGGAUACCCGCUGAACUUAA
rnacentral:misc_RNA from 1 species